rnacentral:lncRNA from 1 species
UCCAACCUCGAACCCUAGAGAACUCGCUGCCCCAAAAGAUCACCAUUAUCUCCGGUGGCGGCACAACCUUACACCACCCCAACCCGCCUCAAAAUCACACCAUAGAAUCCCCUUCGUCCCCUCAUACCAAAUCCACAACCCGUUCCCUUUGAAUCACCGUUAAACUCUUCGAAUCUAAGAUCGAAGGUCGGACACUCAAACCUUAACCUACCCAAAUUUCCCCAAAUUUGCACCCUACCUUCACUAUGUCUCCCCAAACCCAAAACUCAGGACAAUUUGCCCGAAUGAACCCUAGAUUUUACCGAAUUUGGAAUCUAGGGCUCAAUCCGUAUUUCAGAGCUAGAGUUGAGUUGAAGUGUAUUUUGCUCAUCAGGGUUCGAAGCUCGCCUUGACGGAGCACUCUUGUUUGAGAGAGUUCAUUAGGGUGAGUUUCCCACCCUUGAUGAAGCAGUUCGAGUUGGCCAGUCGAUUCGCCUUUAUUUCAUCUGUUGUGGUUAGUCGUUUCAUUUUCUCUCUUUUCUUUUAUUUUGCAUGUUUCUAUCUUCAUCUUCUCCUAGUGUCCCUCUUCUUCUCUUCUUUUCUUGUCCAAAUCCGUAUCUAUUGCAUGAUAGGUCUUUUAAUUUAGAGAUUGGUUAAUUAAAUAAUAUGCCUUUUAAUUUAGAGAUUGGUUAAUUGAACAAUUUUAGUUAACAUAUAGAAUUUCGUUCGUUUCUGCCUUGUUCCUCUUCACUGGUUUUCCUUUAAAAUGAGAGAAAGGGUUCAGAACCCCUUGUGAGUUAUUGGGAAUCUGGGUUUGCUAGUGAAAGAAGCCCAAAGGUGUUAGAGUUUGCUAACGUAGAAGCCCAAGAGGCAGAAUGCAUAUUGGCUCAAAGGCCUGUCUUGGCAAUUAGUAAAUCUUCAAAGGUCAGUUUAGGAAAAUUGAGCAGGUCAGCAGGGGAAUCUUUUGUAGCUGCCUAAGGAAGCUGCCAGGAAAGUGGGGGAAGGGAUUGGUUUGUCAAACAGGUUUUAAAUCAGGGUUUAAAAUGAACAAAAGGAAAAUUGGGGAAGGGGAAAAUGUGAAAUUGUGAAUUCAUUUCUACUGCCCUAAAGCCCUCUAUAUAAGACUGCUUUCUCAGAAAAUAGGGGAGAGGAGAACAAAAGGAAAUUAGAAACGACUGAGUCUGAAAGUUUUGGAAGAGCAACUGAAUUUCUUGCAUUGGUUUAAUUCUGCCCCAAAUUGCAUAAUUGAUCCGAGUAUUUGAGUCUCCAUAGAUUGGUUUUCAUUGGGUCUGUUUCCUACUGGUGUGAAGAAGCUGUAUUUCACUCAGAUUUGCUAGUUCAUUACUGUUACAUUGCCGUUUGGUUUGCUAUUAUUGCAUACUCCCUCACUCCUUUUGUAUUCUCUUGACUUUUUCCAGGUAUUCCUUUGGCAUUAUGGACAUCACUUAAGUGUAAUAUGGAGUUUGGAUCUGGAAAUGUGAUAAAACUGAUGUUGUUGUUGUUGAAUUUUACUUCUUCUUCCUUUAACAUCAUGUAUGGUUGUAAUAUUUAGCUUUAGAGAUAUGUUGAUUGGUAUAUUGAUCAUGAAUGGGAUGUCAUAGCAUGAGAUUGAAGCUUUAAGUGGUCUGUUCCUUCUGUUUAGUUAUCAGCCUUGUUUGAAAUUGGCUAUAGGUGAAAGAAAUGCUUUGGUUAUGUUUGCAGUAACACUUAGGCCUGUGUUAAAUUGUCUGCUGGCGUUUGAAUGUUAUGGUGCUAGACCUGAUGUUUUAAAAUCAUGAUUGCUUAAUGCCGAUCCCCCAGGUUCUGCUAAUAUGAGAUUUAUUUGAGGUUCAGAUUCUCA